UACGUAGGGGGCAAGCGUUGUCCGGAAUUACUGGGCGUAAAGAGCUCGUAGGUGGUUUGUCGCGUUGUUCGUGAAAACCGGGGGCUUAACCCUCGGCGUGCGGGCGAUACGGGCAGACUUGAGUACUGCAGGGGAGACUGGAAUUCCUGGUGUAGCGGUGGAAUGCGCAGAUAUCAGGAGGAACACCGGUGGCGAAGGCGGGUCUCUGGGCAGUAACUGACGCUGAGGAGCGAAAGCGUGGGGAGCGAACAGG
rnacentral:rRNA from 1 species